UUAAGAAUCUUGCACAAUGGGCGCAAGCCUGAUGCAGCGACGCCGCGUGAAUGAUGAAGGCCUUCGGGUUGUAAAGUUCAAUAAGCAGGGAAGAAUAAGCAACGGGUAAUAUUCGUUGUGAUGACGGUACCUGCCUAAAGCCCCGGCUAACUACGUGCCAGCAGCCGCGGUAAUACGUAUGGGGCGAGCGUUGUUCGGAAUUAUUGGGCGUAAAGGGCGUCUAGGCGGGGAAUUAAGUUAGGUGUGAAAGCCUCGGGCUCAACCCGAGAACUGCAUCUAAAACUGAUUCUCUUGAGUUCGGGAGAGGAGAGCGGAAUUCCAGGUGUAGCGGUGAAAUGCGUAGAUAUCUGGAAGAACACCAGUGGCGAAGGCGGCUCUCUGGCCUAGGACUGACGCUGAAGCGCGAAAGCGUGGGGAGCGAACA
rnacentral:rRNA from 1 species